CUAGUGGUUAGAGUGUAGAGGUGGCAGGGUAGCCUAGUGGUUAGAGUGUAGAGGUGGCAGGGUAGCCUAGUGGUUAGAGUGUAGAGGCGGCAGGGUAGCCUAGUGGUUAGAGUGUAGAGGUGGCAGGGUAGCCUAGUGUUUAGAGUGUAGAGGUGGUAGGGUAGCCUAGUGGUUAGAGUCUAGGGACAGUAGGGUAGCCUAGUGGUUAGAGUGUAGAGGCGGCAGGUAGUCUAGUGGUUAGAGUGUAGAGGCGGCAGGGUAGCCUAGUGGUUAGAGUGUAGAAGCGGCAGGUAGUCUAGUGGUUAGAGUGUAGAGGCGGCAGGGUAGCCUAGUGGUUAGAGUGUAGAGGUGGCAGGUAGCCUAGUGGUUAGAGUGUAGAGGAGGCAGGUAGCCUAGUGGUUAGAGUGUAGAGGAGGCAGGUAGCCUAGUGGUUAGAGUGUAGAGGCGGCAGGGUAGCCUAGUGGUUAGAGUGUAGAGGAGGCAGGUAGCCUAGUGGUUAGAGUGUAGAGGAGGCAGGUAGCCUAGUGGUUAGAGUGUAGAGGAGGCAGGUAGCCUAGUGGUUAGAGUGUAGAGGAGGCAGGGUAGCCUAGUGGUUAGAGUGUAGAGGAGGCAGGGUAGCCUAGUGGUUAGAGUGUAGAGGCGGCAGGUAGCCUAGUGGUUAGAGUGUAGGGGCGGCAGGGUAGCCUAGUGGUUAGAGUGUAGAGGAGGCAGGUAGCCUAGUGGUUAGAGUGUAGAGGAGGCAG
ensembl:lncRNA